UACGUAGGGUGCGAGCGUUGUCCGGAUUUAUUGGGCGUAAAGAGCGUGUAGGCGGUUCGGUAAGUCUGUCGUGAAAUCCUGAGGCUCAACCUCGGACGUGCGAUGGAUACUGCCGGGCUAGAGGAUGGUAGAGGCGAGUGGAAUUCCCGGUGUAGCGGUGAAAUGCGCAGAUAUCGGGAGGAACACCAGUAGCGAAGGCGGCUCGCUGGGCCAUUCCUGACGCUGAGACGCGAAAGCUAGGGGAGCGAACAGG
rnacentral:rRNA from 1 species